UGCCCAACAGCUAGCUCAUCCCCCCAACACCAACAAACCACUAUUAAUAACCCCAAAUUACACCUUACCUAACAAGCAAACCAUUUUUCCCCCUAAGUACGGGAGACGAAAAAGGACCUCCGAAGCAAUAGAGAAAGUACCGCAAGGGAAAGCUGAAAGAGACAAUGAAACAACUCAGUAAAGCACUAAAAAGCAGAGACCUCCCCUCGUACCUUUUGCAUCAUGAUUUAGCAAGAAAAAAUUAAGCAAAAUGCAUUAUAGUUUAACUCCCCGAAACUAGGUGAGCUACUCCAAGACAGCCUAACUUUAGGGCACCCCCGUCUCUGUGGCAAAAGAGUGGGAAGAACUUUGAGUAGAGGUGAUAGACCUACCGAACCUAGUUAUAGCUGGUUGCCUGAAAACUGAAUAGAAGUUCAGCCCUUUAAAUUCUCCCCCACACCUCCGACCCACUGUCAGCCACAGGUAAAAGAGAAAUUUUAAAGGAGUUAAUCAAAGGGGGUACAGCCCCUUUGAACAAAGAUACAACUUUCCCAGCAGGGAAAAGAUCAUAUUUUCUUAAGGUUCAUGCCCUGGUGGGCCUAAAAGCAGCCACCCAAACAGAAAGCGUUAAAGCUCGAGCAUAUAUCAGAACCCCCUAAUCCCGACAACAACAUCUUAACCCGCUACCCCUAUCAGGCCAUUCCAUCUCCACAUGGAAGCGAUUAUGCUAAUAUGAGUAAUAAGAGAGGCCCGCCUCUCUCCCUGCACACACAUAAAUCGGAACGAACCCCCACCGAAAAUUAACGGCCCCAAAAUCAAAGAGGGAACUGGACUACAAAAUAAACAACCAGAAAACCAUCCAACCACCCACCGUUAACCCUACACCGGUGUGCAUAAUAGGAAAGAUAAAAAGGAAAGGAAGGAACUCGGCAAACACAAGCCUCGCCUGUUUACCAAAAACAUCGCCUCUUGCAACACUCCCUUAUAAGAGGUCCCGCCUGCCCUGUGACUAUAAGUUUAACGGCCGCGGUAUUUUGACCGUGCAAAGGUAGCGCAAUCACUUGUCUUUUAAAUGAAGACCCGUAUGAAUGGCACCACGAGGGCUUAACUGUCUCCCUUUUCCUAUCAAUGAAAUUGAUCUCCCCGUGCAGAAGCGGGGAUACAUCCAUAAGACGAGAAGACCCUAUGGAGCUUUAGGCUCCAGAGUAGACUAUGUUAAACACCCUGCAAACAAAAGACAAAACUAAUUAGUCCCUACUCUACAUGCCUUUGGUUGGGGCGACCGCGGGGAAAUAAAAANCCCCCACGUGGAUCGGGAGCACAACCCUCCCAAAACCAAGGACCACACUCCUAAGUCACAGAACUUCUGACCAAACAUGAUCCGGCGUCAAGCCGAUCAACGAACCUAGUUACCCUAGGGAUAACAGCGCAAUCCCCUUUUAGAGCCCAUAUCGACAANGGGGGUUUACGACCUCGAUGUUGGAUCAGGACAUCCUAUUGGUGYARCSRYYAUUAAGGGUUCGUUUGUUCAACGAUUAAAGUCCUACGUGAUCUGAGUUCAGACCGGAGUAAUCCAGGUCAGUUUCUAUCUAUGCCAUGAUCUUUUCUAGUACGAAAGGACCGAAAAGAAGAGGUCCCUGUUUUCAACACACCUCACUCUUACCUAAUGAAACCAACUAAAAUAGGCAAAAGAGCAUAUCCCCAGCUUAAGAAAACAGCU
rnacentral:rRNA from 1 species